rnacentral:rRNA from 1 species
AGUGGCGAACGGGUGAGUAACGCGUGGGUGACCUACCUUCGAGUGGGGGAUAACGUCCCGAAAGGGACGCUAAUACCGCAUGAUAUCCUGCUUUUGAAUGGGCGGAGAUCAAAGCCGGGGAUCGCAAGACCUGGCGCUUGUUGAGGGGCCCGCGUCUGAUUAGCUAGUUGGUGAGGUAACGGCCCACCAAGGCGACGAUCAGUAUCCGGCCUGAGAGGGCGGACGGACACACUGGGACUGAGACACGGCCCAGACUCCUACGGGAGGCAGCAGUGGGGAAUUGUUCGCAAUGGGCGCAAGCCUGACGACGCAACGCCGCGUGGAGGAUGAAGGUCUUCGGAUUGUAAACUCCUGUUGCUCGGGACGAAAAGCUCUGACCUAACACGUUAGAGUCUGACGGUACCGGGUGAGGAAGCCCCGGCUAACUCUGUGCCAGCAGCCGCGGUAAUACAGAGGGGGCAAGCGUUGUUCGGAAUUACUGGGCGUAAAGGGCGCGUAGGCGGCCUGCUAAGUCGAACGUGAAAUCCCCGGGCUCAACCCGGGAACUGCGUCCGAUACUGGUUGGCUUGAAUCCGGGAGAGGGAUGCGGAAUUCCAGGUGUAGCGGUGAAAUGCGUAGAUAUCUGGAGGAACACCGGUGGCGAAGGCGGCAUCCUGGACCGGUAUUGACGCUGAGGCGCGAAAGCCAGGGGAGCAAACGGGAUUAGAUACCCCGGUAGUCCUGGCCCUAAACGAUGAAUGCUUGG